rnacentral:rRNA from 1 species
GACAGAGGGUGCAAACGUUGUUCGGAAUUACGGGGCGUAAAGCGCGUGUAGGCGGCAGCGUGUGUCGGGCGUGAAAGCCCAUGGCUCAACCAUGGAAGUGCACCCGAAACUGCGCAGCUAGAGUCCUGGAGAGGAAGGUGGAAUACUUGGUGUAGAGGUGAAAUUCGUAGAUAUCAAGUGGAACACCGGUGGCGAAGGCGGCCUUCUGGACAGUGACUGACGCUGAGACGCGAAAGCGUGGGGAGCAAACAGG